GAUGAACGCUGGCGGCGUGCCUAAUACAUGCAAGUCGAGCGAACAGACGAGGAGCUUGCUCCUCUGACGUUAGCGGCGGACGGGUGAGUAACACGUGGAUAACCUACCUAUAAGACUGGGAUAACUUCGGGAAACCGGAGCUAAUACCGGAUAAUAUAUUGAACCGCAUGGUUCAAUAGUGAAAGACGGUUUUGCUGUCACUUAUAGAUGGAUCCGCGCCGCAUUAGCUAGUUGGUAAGGUAACGGCUUACCAAGGCAACGAUGCGUAGCCGACCUGAGAGAGUGAUGGGCCACACUGGAACUGAGACACGGUCCAGACUCCUACGGGAGGCAGCAGUAGGGAAUCUUCCGCAAUGGGCGAAAGCCUGACGGAGCAACGCCGCGUGAGUGAUGAAGGUCUUCGGAUCGUAAAACUCUGUUAUUAGGGAAGAACAAAUGUGUAAGUAACUAUGCACGUCUUGACGGUACCUAAUCAGAAAGCCACGGCUAACUACGUG
rnacentral:rRNA from 1 species